GGGAACAAGUGCAGAUAUUUCUGGAUUCUUAAUGACACUUCCAACUUGUUGUAGGGCUGUCUGUGCUGCUGACUGGACUUUGGGAUGGGUAUCUGUGAGAACCUCUGUCAACUUUGGCACUAUCUUAGGAAGACAUUGAGACAAUUGUUGGGGAGCACAAUAUGCCAUAGCACCAAGCAACUGUACACUACUUUGCUUUGUUCUCCAUGCUUUAUCAUCAAGACCCUUCAAAAGAGAAGGCAAGACAAG
rnacentral:misc_RNA from 1 species